GCCGGGGUAGCUCAGCUGGGAGAGCAACAGACUGAAGAACAAUGCAUUCUGGAGGUCCCGUGUUCAAUCCACGGUCCUGGCA